CUGCCAUGCAAGAAAUGUGAAAAGUUCUUCGGAGAGAAGGAAAAUUAUAUAGGUCAGAAACUGAGACCUACAUAAGGAAAGAAGAGCAUUGGAUGAAGAAGAAAUAAAUAAAGAUGCAAUGGAUUAAGACUCUUGACUAGAAUAAUCUGAAGCAUUCUGCGUGAAUUUGUGACCAAAGAAACCAAAAAUCAGGCUACCUUUGACAAUGUCAAAUUACAGUGAACUGUGGAGUCGAUUAUACCUCUCAUAUUUCUUUAUUAUGUUAAAUGCUUAAUUAUUUGCUUGAUUCUGUCUUUGUCAUAGUCCUUUAUUACAAUGACGUCUUAUUUAAGUAAAAGAAUUCCAAAUACAUAGAAAACAAAAGCAUUUGUUUUAUUUCAAAAUAAUGAAGAAACAUAAUAGGUUAUACAACUUUUCAAGAGACCAUUAUGCUGUUAAAUCAUUUAUAUAUCUUCUCUUUAUUUGGACUCAGAAAAUAUGGACAUUAUAAUGCAAAAAGUUACUGAAAAAUCAAUGUCAGCAUCAUCUGAACUCUUUUCCCCUAAUCUAAUCUAGGCAUUUGGAUUACCCAUUUCUAAGCACAUCAGUGGUUUUUGAAUGUCAGUAGCACCCUGCUUAAUCAAUAAGCCUUUAUUUGGCUCAAUGAACUGCUGAUACGUACUUUUACAUAUUCAAAAUCUGUCCCUCAGUAUGGAUACUAACUAGAUCUUUUUUGAAUGAGAAGGUCAGGUCAGGCUCCCCCUUGGCAAUGAUACCAGCUCCCUCAGAUUCUCAUUAAUGGAACCAUGUGCUCACUGAACAAAGAAUGCUUACAGAAAAAAAAAAGAAUAUUGACGUCAGUGUAUAUUAUAUUCCUUAAAAAUAUUUAUAAACGAGCAUUCGUUAUAGAAGCAAGGAACAUGACAGCUUAUUGAUUAUGCAAAUAUGUUCCUUGUACGCUUUUAAAAUAAAUCAAUUAGUGCAAGAGUUGGCAAAGUCUUCCUUAAAGGGCAAGAUUAUUAAAAUAUUAGGCUUUGCUGGCCAUUUGGUCUGUCACAACUAAUUAACUCUGCUGUCGUAAUGGGAAAACAGCCACAGACAAUAUGUGAAAUAAUGGAUGUGGCUGUAUUUCAAUAAAACUUUGUUUAGAGAAACAGGUGGUGGGACAGUGUGUUGAUCCCUGAACUAAUGGGAUAAAAUAUAACUUAAAUAUAAUAUGCAUGUAUGUACAUAUGUUUCUGUUUACAAAAUAGAAUUGAGUGUCUCUUUCAGCUAAUUGAGCACCAUAAUGUAAACCUACAAGAGGUACGAGAGAAUUUCGUAUAUGUAUUUGAAGUCUUGACACUGCUAAAUCUUUUGUUUGUAAUUGGCAUGCCAUGUUGGAAGACAUAAUAGAGAAACUGUCUAUCCAUGCGUCCUUUACUUAAGAAAACUAAACUCUUCUCUGAAGUUAUGUGGUAUAGAUUUUUCCUAAAGGAAGCCAACCAGUUGAAAGAUCAAGCUAUGCAUUAACUCAUCACACUUUAAAUAAGUAAAUAAAUAAAUAACUCACCUA